rnacentral:lncRNA from 1 species
CCUGACGAUUACCCAGGAACAAUAUCAUUCACUGAAGACAUUCAUUUUGUUGUUAAGAAUUCCAAAGAGCAAGAUUCAGGCAGAUAAACAGAAAAUUAUCCAGAGAAACUAUUCUAAUCCGUUUUUGUCAGAAGUCGAAAAUCUCCCAAAGACGACAGGACAGAACUGAAAUAUCCGACCAGAGAGCAGAUUUAAGUACAGCCAGUUUCAUACCCUGGGACCACCAUCAGAGAUUCAACAAUGUCGACGUGGCCUAACAUGUCUAAUGGAACAAGCGGACAGCAUCAAGGCCAUUUUGAUCAUUUCUCGGGUACUAUUGAGCUCUACAAAGUUCUGUUCGCAUUGAUUGACGGAUUUGGCAUCAUUGGUAACAUCCUUGUGAUAUCUACAAUAUUCCUCAACCCCAACAUGAGAUCAACCAUCUACUACCUACUCGCUAAUCUCGCCUUUUCCGAUUUGCUGUUCGCCAUUUUAGCGCCAUUUCACAUGUCUAUGUUACUGGAUGGCUACAACUGGAAAUACGGCGCGGUAUUCUGUCGUGUGUAUUAUUUCAUUCUUCGCUCAUUUUACUCAUUCUCCAUCAUGAAUCUAAUUCUGAUCACAGUCGAGCGUUUCCUGGCCACGCGCUAUCCGUUAUCGUUUCGCGGCAAACCGAAACGUACGCUGGCGUUAAUCCUUGCGACCUGGGUACUGAGUUUCGUAUUCUCGUCACCAUUCCUUUCCGUGAUGGAGCACCGCUGCUGGGUACCAGAAUACUGU